CCUACGGGUGGCAGCAGUGGGGAAUCUUGCGCAAUGGGCGAAAGCCUGACGCAGCAAUGCCGCGUGAGGGAUGAAGGUCUUAGGAUUGUAAACCUCUUUCAGCAGGGACGAAAACAGACGGUACCUGCAGAAGAAGCCCCGGCUAACUACGUGCCAGCAGCCGCGGUAAUACGUAGGGGGCGAGCGUUGUCCGGAAUCAUUGGGCGUAAAGAGCGUGUAGGUGGGCCGGAAGGUCUGGUGUGAAAGCCCGGGGCUCAACCCCGGAGGGUCACUGGAAACCAACGGCCUUGAGUCCGGAAGAGGAGAGUGGAAUUCCUGGUGUAGCGGUGGAAUGCGCAGAUAUCAGGAGGAACACCAAUGGCGAAGGCAGCUCUCUGGUACGUGACUGACACUGAGACGCGAAAGCGUGGGGAGCGAACAGGAUUAGAUACCCCAGUAGUC
rnacentral:rRNA from 1 species